GAUGAACGCUGGCGGCGUGCCUAAUACAUGCAAGUCGAGCGAAUGGAUUAAGAGCUUGCUCUUAUGAAGUUAGCGGCGGACGGGUGAGUAACACGUGGGUAACCUGCCCAUAAGACUGGGAUAACUCCGGGAAACCGGGGCUAAUACCGGAUAACAUUUUGAACCGCAUGGUUCGGAAUUGAAAGGCGGCUUCGGCUGCCACUUAUGGAUGGACCCGCGUCGCAUUAGCUAGUUGGUGAGGUAACGGCUCACCAAGGCAACGAUGCGUAGCCGACCUGAGAGGGUGGUCGGCCACACUGGGACUGAGACACGGCCCAGACUCCUACGGGAGGCAGCAGUAGGGAAUCUUCCGCAAUGGACGAAAGUCUGACGGAGCAACGCCGCGUGAGUGAUGAAGGCUUUCGGGUCGUAAAACUCUGUUGUUAGGGAAGAACAAGUGCUAGUUGAAUAAGCUGGCACCUUGACGGUACCUAACCAGAAAGCCACGGCUAACUACGUGCCAGCCGCCGCAGUAA
rnacentral:rRNA from 1 species